GUAGCCUUCGUGGCUCAUCAGUGGUUGAGAAACGUGGUUUUAAAAGAUAUUUUGUUCCCUGUUAAAUCAACUUUAAAAGACAAGAAAAAAAAGAAAAGUCUAUUCCAUCGCCUACGCUUGGUUGGAAAGAUGUUCCUUCGAGAACUUCGUUACCCAAAGGGCAACUUAUACCAAGUCAAUGCACAUCAACAGAGAGGAUCCUUCUGCAAAUGUUGGGGGAGUUGCAGAGCCAGGUCCAACACCUGAAAGAGAUUGUUACCCAAAGACCUUCCUUUUUGGGUAACAGUCCUGCAGACACACCAUUAACAAUGGCAAGUGCACUGUACAAAAUUGAUUUAUGAUCUAUUUUAAUUAAAUUAUUUUAGAUUGAUUUUGGAAAUGUUUAUUUUUUUCCUAGUUUAAAUAAUAAAGUUUCAAGGUGUAUUUAAGUUU